rnacentral:misc_RNA from 1 species
GCCACAUGUCAAGAUCAAUUUCUAAUGCUUUGGGUUGUACAGCCAAGAUGGUAAAAGGAAUUUGCUCUCCCUUGAUUCCUGAGGCCUUAGCCUGUAAAGAGGUAGCCAAAUCCACAAGCUUCUAUGCCAUCAUUCUUGAAGGUGACCGACUUGAGUGCUGUAAUUCAAGCUCUAAAAGGGGAACAAUUCCCACUAAAGGUUCG